rnacentral:rRNA from 1 species
GGGCCCGCACAAGCGGUGGAGUAUGUGGUUUAAUUCGAUGCAACGCGAAGAACCUUACCAGGGCUUGACAUCCUGCGAACCUCUGUGAAAGCGGAGGGUGCCUUCGGGAACGCAGUGACAGGUGGUGCAUGGCUGUCGUCAGCUCGUGUUGUGAAAUGUUGGGUUAAGUCCCGCAACGAGCGCAACCUUAUCCUUGUUUGCCAGCGAGUAAUGUCGGGAACUCCAGGGAGACUGCCGGUGAUAACCGGAGGAAGGUGGGGACGACGUCAAGUCAUCAUGGCCCUUACGAGUAGGGCUACACACGUGCUACAAUGGCGCAUACAGAGGGCAGCCAACUUGCGAGAGUGAGCGAAUCCCAAAAAGUGCGUCGU